AACGAACGCUGGCGGCAUGCCUAACACAUGCAAGUCGAACGAGACCUUCGGGUCUAGUGGCGCACGGGUGCGUAACGCGUGGGAACCUGCCCUUAGGUUCGGAAUAACUCCCCGAAAGGGGUGCUAAUACCGGAUAAUGUCUUCGGACCAAAGAUUUAUCGCCUUUGGAUGGGCCCGCGUUGGAUUAGCUAGUUGGUAGGGUAAAAGCAUACCAAGGCGACGAUGCAUAGCUGGUCUGAGAGGAUGAUCAGCCACACUGGGACUGAGACACGGCCCAGACUCCUACGGGAGGCAGCAGUGGGGAAUAUUGGACAAUGGGCGAAAGCCUGAUCCAGCAAUGCCGCGUGAGUGAUGAAGGCCUUAGGGUUGUAAAGCUCUUUUACCCGGGAUGAUAAUGACAGUACCGGGAGAAUAAGCACCGGCUAACUACGUG
rnacentral:rRNA from 1 species